GCUGGUUUGGCAUUACACGUCAUCAGGUGAAUAUAGUGUGAAGUCGGGCUAAUGGAUGGCUGUGCUCCAAAGUUGAAUAGGAGGGGCUCAAAUCAAGCAGGUCCUAGACCUACUUCAGAUAAUGCAACUCGAAAGCUGUGGAGAGAAGUCUGUAAGCUCAAGUUACCGCCGAAAAUUGCCAUUUUUCUUUGGAAAAUUCUCCAAGAAAAAUUGCCAACUAAUGUUCAUCUAUGCAAAAUUCGGCCAUACUUUUGCUCAGAAUGUGUCUUCUGUGGAGAAUAGGAAUCACUGCAUCAUUUGUUCUUCAAGUGUUAUCACGCUAGGCAGGUUUGGUUGAUGUUGCCCUUCAUGCUUCGGUCAGAAAUAUUAAAGGGUACCACAAUUUUGGAUUGUUGGCAAGAACUCCUCUCCUUCCUAAGCUCGGGUGUCCAGGAAUGUGGUUGGAUAAAGAUGCUAGUUUUUGUCUUAUGGAGCAUAUGGAAAAAGUCGCAACAACUACAUCUUUAGCCGUCAUCAGAGUUCUCCACAAGAGACGACAUCAGUGGGCCUUGCCAUGUAUAGGGAUUUUGCUUCCUUGCAGGUUUUUACGAAACAGACUCCAAUUAUCACAUCUCGCCAUCACUUAGAAUGGUCUCCACCAGCCCCAGGCCUUGUCAAAAUCAAUACAGAUGCAGCAGUAAGUAGGGAGGAGCUUUAUGGAUCGAUAGUAGCCAUAGCAAGGGAUUCGGAUGGAUCUCCACAAGGUUGAAGUUGUCGGCGUAUCACUAGUAUUAUAGACCCUCUCACCCUUGAAGCUAUGUCGGGAAGUAAUUCAACUAGGGAUUUCCAGAGGAUUUAAUCGCUUCAUGUUGGAAAGUGACUCUUUGCAAGUGGUCAAUGCAAUUCAAAAUCGGUCUCCUCCCCUUCUCUCAAUCUCUGGAAUUACUCAAGACAUUCAAAACAUGGUGUUUAGAGUAGAUUUUUUUUGUUUGUUCUAGGAUGAGGAACAUGGCAGCUCAUUCGUUAGCUAAGAAAACGCUGCAAGAUAGUUCCUUUAUUUUCAAUCCUUUGGCUCAACGUCACUUCGUAUCCUCUUUUACGCCUAAGUAGGGUCUCGUCUACGAAUCUGCCUUCGAGAAAAAAAUUAUAAUUAAUAAAUUUAAAGGGUUAAAUUUAUAAUUAUUAAAAGUUGCCAAGCUCCCAAUUUCAAAGAAGAGUCUUCAAUCGGCAUAAAUUGAGCUAGUACUCAAUUCCCAAAUUUUUUAAAAGAGUUUGGAGAAUUUUCCCAUAAUUAGUCUGUGUGAAUAUCAUAAAAGACUGGAUAUAUGAAUGAUUGGUGAUUUGCUGUAACCCGACUUAGUGAUUAGCAAAUCCUAAAACUAAUUUGAGGUAAUUUGCUUGAUAAUUAAAUUUUUUAAAACCAAUUUAGCUGACAUAAAGCAGGUAAUGACAUCAGGAGGGUCCUGUUUAUUUUUAUAUUUCUUGUAUAAAUUCUCAGUUCGUUCUUUUGAGCUCAAUGGUUUCUUUAUAUCUCUCUCCUUCUCAAACAUAUUUUUCUUCUACUUGUCAUUUGUUAUGGAGUUUUGGUUCUUAUAUUAUGCUUUCUUACUGUUUGAAGUGUGGUUCUCAGUUCUUAUGGUACCAUGCAAUUCGAUCUCUCUGAAGGGAAGUUCUGAUGCCACUCCAUUUUCAAGCAGCUUUCUCUUUGGAACUGCAUCUUCUUCUAACCAAGUAUUAUGCUUUUGCCUUAUUUUGUUUUUCUCCUUCACACACUUAAAGAGUAGAAUCAAAUUUUUCUGCAUAUUAUUUCAUCUUUGCACAUUUUGAAGGAGCAUACUUGAGUGAUGGUAAAGGCCUUAACAAUUGGGACACUUUAACUCACAAGCCUGGUUAGAUGGCUUAUGUUUUAUACUUUUUCUUCUAUCUCUAUUAUCCGUCCUGUUUUGACCUCUUUCUUUUUCUGGUAGUAGUUGUAUGGAUUUUUGGUAGGUAAUAUCUUAGAUGGAACUAAUGGGGACAUUGCAGUGGAUCACCGAUAUCUGGUGCUCAUUUUACUUAUUUGAGCAUUUUUUUUAAUCUUCUUAAUAUCUAUGAAGCCGCUUAAAGUUUGUUCUAUUUUUCCCAGUUUAUGAAUUUUCAUCCAUCCAAUAUGAAAAUUGUUGAAACAGGGACACAAAGGCGCACACAGUCACAUAAUUACAGCAUAAAGAGGAGAUAAAAUGGACACGAGAUUAGAGAAAAGUUCCACACAAAAAAAGCAAGAUUCAAUCACACAUAAUUCUCAAACCCUUUAAUCCAGUGUGUUUCUCACAAUAAUAACACAAUAGGGAGAAAAUACAAUAUUUAUACAAGUCUAUCAGCCACAUCACAAAAUAUUUCAAUCAGAUUACAGCACGAAAACUUUUUGAGCCGGGUUACAAUUGGGGUACAUAAAGUCUGAAAUUAGAAGUGGAGUGGCAGACAGGCUUUUAAGUGCAGCAUAUAAAAAGGGUAUUGCAAAGUUAUUUGCAAUGAAAGUGAGGCUGUGGAAGGGAUAAAAUAAGUUAGGGACACUAUUACACUUUACGAAAUGGCCAAUCCAAAGGCUUAGAUAUGCAUAUGCAUAUUGUGAUCAUUAUAUGCAUUAUGCAGUCACAUAGAUCUGGUGGUUAACAUAUCAAAUCAUCUACAAUAUAAAGUAGACAAAUUAUUAUGGACAUGACCCACAUUAAAGAUUUGCAUGCUCAUAAGUUUUAACCCUAUUUAGCCAAAUAUGAACCCCACAUUUAUACUUUAGUGUGAUGGUUGUUUUCUCCACAUUAUAGUGCCUUUUUCUUUUUCCUUUUUGAUUUCUUAAUUUCAUUAUUUCUGAUAGAGUACAGUUCUUUUCUUUUCUUGAUUGCGAUUGAUUGACAGUGAAGGGAUCCCGUAAAACUGAACCAAUUAUAUCAAAGUCACCAAAUUGAGAAGAAAAUUAUAUAUUAGCAUUUGAAGUCUUUUGAAAAUAUGUAAGAUAUUUUGGUUCGGAUAAAUGUUAUGCAUAUGGGAAUAGUUGUUAUUAAACAUAAUAAGGAAAAAAGGUAUGAAAAUCAAGUGUCUAGAUUUUUCAAGAAAAGGGAAUGUCAUAGUGUUCUGAGAAUUGGUAGAUGAUAUUUGAACGGCAUUGUUUGAUAAUCUGUUUCUGAAAAUACAGAGGUAUGAAUCCAUCGCAAUAUAAAGGAAAAAGACCAAUUUGGUUUGUUAUGAAAUCAGAAAACAGGAAGAUAUUGAUCUCAUGGAAUAUAUUGGAGUCAAUAGCUGUCGUUUCUCCAUAUCAUGGGCAAGAGUCUGACCCAGUGAGUUUGUAAUUUCUUCAUUAGAGAAUGUUUUACUAAUAAGUCACUGUUAAUCCAAUCUCUAACUGUCAUCUUUUGGUGAGCCUGAGGGAAGAUUUCGAAAUGUGAACCAGGCUGGCAUCAAUCAUUAUAACAAGAUAAUUAAUGCCAUUCUGCAUAAAGGUUAAUUCAAUUUCCAGGGUAAAUUGUCACAAUGUAUAGAAUAGCUUGAUUGUCACAAUGUGAUCAGAAUCAUAAAGUAAGCACAAAAGGUGAAAUAAACAAAUCUAUUUAUCAUCAGAAUCAUUGUUGCAUAAUUAGUAGCGGACCUUCGUAUGGUAAUAGAUCAUAUCAUGUUUUCACAAUAACAUUCAUUUGUUCUGGUUUUAGGAAUCCAACCCUUUGUGUCAUUGACUCACUAUGACAUUCCUCAGGAACUUGAAGGCAGAUAUGGAGCUUGGCUAAGUCCUGAAAUACAGGAGGACUUCAAAUAUUAUGCAGAUAUAUGUUUCAGAUCCUUGGGUGACAGAGUUAAAUGGUGAUCCACCUUCAAUGAGCCCAAUGUCGCAGCAAUUCUUGGUUAUAGAUCAGGGAUUUUCCUGCCAGCUCAUUGCUCCAGCUCGUUUGGCAACUGUAGCAAUGGAGAUUCAGAGGGAGAGCCUUUUAUCGCUGCCCAUAACAUGAUACUAUCACAUGCAGCUGCUGUUAAUGUUUACAGAACUAAAUACCAGAAAGAACAAGGUGGAAGCAUAGGAAUUGUUAUGAAUGCCAUGCGGUUUGAACUUUGAACCUAUCAGUAUUUCCUUGAAAGACAAACUAGCAGUUGAGAGAGCCCAAGCUUUCUAUUUGAACUGGUUCCUAGACCCUAUUAUACAUGGAGCGUAUCCAACAGAAAUGCAGGAAAUUCUAGGGCGUUGACUUGCCUGCAUUUUCAAACUAUGAACUGGAGAAGCUGAAGAGUGGAUUAGACUUCAUUGGCAUAACCACUACAGUAGUUUCUACAUAAAGGACUGCAUAUUUUCUUUCUGUGGCCAAGGUAAAGGAGUUACAAAGACAGAAGGUUUUGCUUGGCAGACUGCACAGAAGGACGGUAUCUUCAUUGGAGAACCUGCAUAUGACCUUAGCUUCUCUUCAUCUUACAAUUUACUUUCUACUUUUCUAUGAAUAACUUAAGCCUUUGUACUUGUGUAGACCUCAGUUGACUGGCAAUAUGUUUAUCCUCAAGGAAUGGAAAAAAUGGUGACAUAAAUAAAAGAAAGAUAUAACAACAUACCAAUGUUCGUUAUAGAAAAUGGAAGAAAAUUGCAAUACCACUGUCAAAGUUUUACUCAAUGAUGUCAAGAGAGUAGAGUACAUGAGCAGCUACUUGGAAGCUCUGGCAAUGGCACUAAGGGAAGGAGCAGAUGCACGGGGGUACUUUGCCUGGUCAUUGCUUGACAACUUUGAGUGGAUAGAUGGAUAUACGAUAAGGUUUGGGCUUUACCAUGUUGAUUAUUCGACUCUCAAACCCAAAAACUAUCAGCAACUAGGUGCAAAGAUUAUAUUUCCAGCCAUAAGGCUAGCAGAACUUGCACCUGACCUAAGCAUACUCAUGAAAAUUAGUAGUGUGUUUAAGAUCAGUUGAAGUUUCCUAUCCUAAAAGUUAGAAAACAAAUUGCAAGAAAAAUCCUGUGUGAUUUUGGUCAAGGAGUUUAUCCAAUGGGCGUGUUGUUGAAAAGUUUUAGCUAUGUUAAUGAAAUAAAUAACCCACUUUGUAUGAUACCAAUCUAUAGAGCAUUGCUUUGUUUGCUGAAAAUGUGCUCUUUUGCUCUUG
rnacentral:misc_RNA from 1 species